rnacentral:rRNA from 1 species
UACGUAGGGUGCGAGCGUUGUCCGGAAUUAUUGGGCGUAAAGGGCUCGUAGGCGGUUUGUCGCGUCGGGAGUGAAAAACCCCAGGCUUAACUUGGGGCUGGCUUUCGAUACGGGCAGACUAGAGGCAUGCAGGGGAGAACGGAAUUCCUGGUGUAGCGGUGAAAUGCGCAGAUAUCAGGAGGAACACCGGUGGCGAAGGCGGUUCUCUGGGCAUGUUCUGACGCUGAGGAGCGAAAGUGUGGGGAGCGAACAGG